GUCUUAGACUUGGGAUCAGUUCGCC
rnacentral:piRNA from 1 species